rnacentral:rRNA from 1 species
GAUGAACGCUAGCGGCAGGCCUAAUACAUGCAAGACGAACGGUAAGUUGAGUAGCAAUACUUAGCCAAGAGUGUCGUACGGGUGCGUAACACGUAUGCAACCUACCCUAUACAGGAGGAUAGCCUAGGGAAACCUGGAUUAACCCUUCAUAGUAUUAUUGGAUGGCAUCAUUUGAUAAUUAAAACUGAGGUGGUAUAGGAUGGGCAUGCGUCUGAUUAGUUAGUUGGCGGGGUAAUGGCCCACCAAGACGAUGAUCAGUAGGGGUUCUGAGAGGAAGAUCCCCCACACUGGCACUGAGAUACGGGCCAGACUCCUACGGGAGGCAGCAGUAGGGAAUAUUGGUCAAUGGAUGCAAGUCUGAACCAGCCAUGCCGCGUGCAGGAAGAAGGCCUUCUGGGUUGUAAACUGCUUUUGCCAGGGGAUAAAAUUUCCAUGCGUGGAAAACUGAAGGUACCUGGUGAAUAAGCCACGGCUAACUACGUGCCAGCAGCCGCGGU